rnacentral:lncRNA from 1 species
UUCUAUCUAUCUCUUAUCUCAUUCGAUCAGACUCUAAUGCAGCCUCCAAAAUCCGCUAUUCUCACCGGUUCUGAAGCUCCAAUCAACCCCAAAUAUUCACCACACACUCCUCAUAGGCCCUCAAACACUAAACCACCGUCAAUUUUCUGAAAUCCUCUCCAUGUUUCUCUAAUUUCAAAUCUUAAAUGGAACCCUAGAUUCGUUUCCGUCUUUGAUUCCUCGUGCAAAGGGCCUGGUUCGAUGUUCUCCAAAGUGUUGAAGAGAUUUUGACCUGAAACAAGUAUUAGAUGGUUUGUUCUCACAAGAACAACCUGAAUAACACUCAUUGUGGGUUCAAAUCGAUUUGCUGGAUAGUCUAUCCAAACCCAUUAUACAUCUGUUUCUUUCAAAUAUUUCAGGUCAUGUGUUUCCAUUUUUGAUCUCAUUCUCAUUUUCGUCCAUUUUUUUUAUUUUUUUAUUUUUUUAUUUUUCCAUUUUCAAAUCAUACCUAUUAAUUUUAGGUUAUUUUCCUUUUAGUCAGUAUCUUUUCUGAUUUUAAUUGACUUUUUUGUUUGAUUUUGCUUAAGUCCCUCCCUCUUUUGUUUCCUUUAGAAUUCCUGACCUUAGGAGUUCAUAUGACUCAGAUUGGCCCGUUCUCUUGAUUCUCCUACUGCUUUUUUUAAUUGCUCCAUGGGCUCUGUCAACUGAAGCCCAAAAAGGUGGAAGUGUCUAUCCCGGUUUGCAGGACUAGGGGUUUUGGGUCGAUCGACUUGACCCAUAUCUGGUUCCAAGGGUAAAUGGCAGAAGUUUAAAGGCUAGUUUAGGGAUUUCAGUUAAGGAGAAUCUGGUAUAUCUGAUUAGGAAGCUACCUGGAAGGUGGGGUUGGGGCCAUUUUAGAAAACAAAAUUUAUAACUGAGGAAUAGCUAGCAAAAAUGAAAAUUAAAAAAAAGGAGUAAUAGGCAAAAUCUGAAACCCAUUUCUGUUGCCCUAAAGUUUCUCUAUAAAAGGCAUGUUUUUUCAUUUUUAAGAGAGAUUUUUAGAGAAUUACAAUACUUAAAAGCUUAAAAAACGGCUGAGUACUGCAAAUCCUUUGCAUUUUUGGUAGGAAUUAGAUUGGUUUGCUGUUUAUCUUCAUAAGUUUGAAACCUUUCAAGAGUUUUCUGGUUCAUUCUGGGUUCAAAAUAGUUUGGAAGGACUGUUUGUUGCUGUUAUUGGCUGUGUUAAUACUGUUGAUACUUUGUUGCUGGUUUUCUCGAACUUCAAGUUUAUUUCCAUUGUGGUUCUUUGGUGUAACCAGGUACACAUUUCUGGAUCCUAUUGAAUGUGAGGCUCGAUUUGAAGUAUGCAGUUGAAAUAUGGAGUUUUGAGAAUAGCAUCAACUCAUUUGCUCAUAAUUUAGCUUUAUAUUCUGCAUUACAUUAUUCUUCUAUUGUCUGAUUAAUUGUAUUGGUCUGGGCAAUUGACAGUACUCUCUUGGGGAUGUAUUUUGUCUUUUCUUAGCAUGUGAAUUUAAUUUUUCUUUCAAGUAUCAUAUAGCCGGAUUUUGGUUUUGAUAGCUGAACUCUUGUCAUUGUAUUUAAUCUUGGACUGUUAUGAUAUGGACA